rnacentral:rRNA from 1 species
UAUGUGAUCGUCUCUCGCAUAUCAAUAAGCGGAGGAAAAGAAACUAACAAGGAUUCCCCUAGUAACGGCGAGUGAAGCGGGAAGAGCUCAAAUUUGAAAUCUUAAAGGGUUUCCCUUUACGAAUUGUAGUUUAAAGAAGUGUUUUCUGUUGAGGUUUUGGUAAAAGUUCUUUGGAAUAGGACAUCAUAGAGGGUGAGAAUCCCGUAUUUGACCUUUACUUUCAACUUUGUGAUACACUUUCAAAGAGUCGGAUUGUUUGGGAAUGCAGUCCAAAAUGGGUGGUAAAUUUCAUCUAAAGCUAAAUAUUGGCGAGAGACCGAUAGCGGACGAGUACCGUGAGGGAAAGAUGAAAAGAACUUUGAAAAGAGAGUUAAACAGUACGUGAAAUUGUCAAAAGGGAAGCGUUUGACACCAGUGUUGUUUUUCUGAAAAUCAAUUAAAGAACUGUUUAUGCUAAGCUGUUUAGACUUUAUCAGCUAACUGUUUAGUUUUGAGCUUUUCUUUAAUGCACUUUUCAGUUAACAAGUCAACAUCAAUUUCUUUUGCUGUAAAAAAGCUUGAGGAAGGUGGCUUGAGAUUCGUCUUAAGUGUUUAUAGCCUCUUGCCUAUGCAGUCGGAGAGAUUGAGGUCUGCAGCGUAGAUCCUUCGGGGCUAAAUGCAUUUGUGCUAAGUUAUAGCAUUUUAUAGACAACUUGUUGACUAUGAUUUGUCUUGUAGCUUACUCGCUUAUGUUAUUUUACCUACGCUUAGGAUGUUGACACACGCGCGUGCUC